UACAGAGGUCUCAAGCGUUGUUCGGAUUCAUUGGGCGUAAAGGGUGCGUAGGCGGCGCGGUAAGUCGGGUGUGAAAUCUCGGAGCUUAACUCCGAAACUGCACUCGAUACUGCCGUGCUUGAGGACUGGAGAGGAGACUGGAAUUUACGGUGUAGCGGUGAAAUGCGUAGAUAUCGUAAGGAAGACCAGUGGCGAAGGCGGGUCUCUGGACAGUUCCUGACGCUGAGGCACGAAGGCCAGGGGAGCAAACGGG
rnacentral:rRNA from 1 species